GAUGAACGCUGGCGGCGUGCCUAAUACAUGCAAGUCGAGCGAAUGGAUUAAGAGCUUGCUCUUAUGAAGUUAGCGGCGGACGGGUGAGUAACACGUGGGUAACCUGCCCAUAAGACUGGGAUAACUCCGGGAAACCGGGGCUAAUACCGGAUAACAUUUUGAACCGCAUGGUUCGAAAUUGAAAGGCGGCUUCGGCUGUCACUUAUGGAUGGACCCGCGUCGCAUUAGCUAGUUGGUGAGGUAACGGCUCACCAAGGCAACGAUGCGUAGCCGACCUGGGAGGGUGAGCGGCCACACUGGGACUGAGACACGGCCCAGACUCCUACGGGAGGCAGCAGUAGGGAAUCUUCCGCAAUGGACGAAAGUCUGACGGAGCAACGCCGCGUGAGUGAUGAAGGCUUUCGGGUCGUAAAACUCUGUGGUUAGGGAAGAACAAGUGCUAGUUGAAUAAGCUGGCACCUUGACGGUACCUAACCAGAAAGCCACGGCUAACUACGUGCCAGCCGCCGCUGUAA
rnacentral:rRNA from 1 species